rnacentral:lncRNA from 1 species
UCACCUUGAUCUGAUCCAAACUCUUGCCCGCGAUGACUUUUCCCUUAUGAACCAACCUCUGGAUGCUCCAAAUAUAACCACAAUCAGUACAUAAUCAUUAAAAUAUGCUAAGGGAACAAAGUACACUCAAAAAUAUCUAAUUUUCAUCAAAAAUUCCAAAAUUACUCAAACACAGCCGCUGGGCCUACAUCUCAGAAUCUGACAAAAUUAUCAUCAAUAGGAUCCUCAACCUCCCACGAACCUAUACAUAUUAGGAAUAUUAAAAUCGAACCUAAAAUGGCCACUCAAAUCCCCACUCAAAGGUCCCUUAAUCUCAAGCCCUAAUCCCUCAAGUUCUUCCUUAAUUUCCACUAAUACCACGAUUAAACAAUGCAAAAAUGAUCAUAAUCAUGAGUAAUGAGGCUCAGGGAACUGAUUCUCUUUGAUUUUUCCCUUUAGUUCACUGCCCUAGCUCACUUCGCGUCUUCAAAAAUGGAGAACUUAGCAAAAAUUCGCGAAGGAACAUUAUAUAAUUUCUGACCCCGGUAUUGCCACACCUACUGUCCCAUUACCGCUUCUGCAAUCCCGCUUCUGUGACUAUUCCACCGCAUCAACGUUUUUCAUUAAAAUGACAAUCUCCGCAUCUGUGACUAAACACCCGCACAUUCACUACCGCAGGUGCACCCACGACACUGCUUCUAUGGUUCCUGAAGGACUUCACUUUGGCCACAUCUGCGAUUGCUUUACGUAUCUGCGAUCAUCGCAUCUGCGGCCUCCCAAUCGCAGGUCCAGUAAUGACAGAACCAAAAGCUUCAACUACAACUCAAUUCCAAAUUCUUCCGUCAACCAUCCGAAAUUACCCCGAGGCCCUCAGGACCUUAACCAAAAGCACAAACGUAUCCCAACACCUUAUCCAAUCUUGUUCCAAUCUUCAAAACACCUUAAAUAAUAUCAAAUCGACGAAAACACAUCGGAUUCAAGCCAAACUUUCUAAAAUCUUCUGAAUUGCGCUUUUGAUCAAAAACCCAACCAAACCACGUUCAAAUGAACUAAAUUUUGCACUCACAUCCCAAAUGACACAAUGAAACUACUGCAACUUUCGGAAUUCCAUUCUGACCCAUAUAUCAAAAUCUUACCUAUCAACAGAAAAAUGCCAAAAUCUCAAUUUUGUCAAUUCAAGCCUAAGCCUUCCAUGGACCUCCAAAAUUCAUUCCGAUCACGCUCCUAAGUUCCAAAUCAUCUAAUGGAGCUAACUAAAUCAUAAAAGUCCCGAUCCGAGAUCAUAUACCAACAAGUCAAAUCUUGGUCAAACCUUUUAAAUUUCAAGCUUCGAACUGAGAAUUGUUCUUCCAAAUUCAUUUAGAUUACCCUGAAAAUCAAAACCAACAAUUUAUAUAAGUCAUAAUCCAUCACACGAGGAAAGUCAUGCCUGAGAAUUGAUGAAUAAAGUGCAAAAGCUCAAACGACUGGCUGAAUCAUUACAUACAAUCUGUAUUGUAGCUUUGUUAUUACUAAACACUUCAAUUGGUAGCUUGAUAUCAACCCCCACUUCCUUUAGCAACCCAAUUAACCAAAUAAGCUCUACCACAAAUAUUGCAAGACUACUCAACUUCUGCUGAGCUUCUAGAAACUGUAGUUUUCUUCUUUAAUUUUCACGACAUUAAGGAGUCUCCAAACUUGACUAAAUAACCUGAAACAUAUUUCCUUGAAAAUGAACAAGCAGCCCAGUCUGCAUUAAAAUAUGUUGAAAUAGUACUGUUGAAUUUGCUGGAGAGUAGUAUUCCUUGUCUUGGACUAUCCUUGAUGUACUUUGCAUUCUUAGAGCUGCUUCCAUGUGAGAUUUCAUUGGUCUUUAAAAGAACUGACUUAGUGUUUGUACACUAUAUGAAAUGUCUAGCCUUAUCAUUGUUAAAUAUAAUAUUUUACCUAUCAGUAUUUGAUAAAAAGGUGAAUCUGCCAAUUCUUCAUCCACCAAGAUAGUAGGUUUAGUUUUCCUGAGAUGUUCAUCAUAUUAUUUAGUUCUAAGUUUAAUAUUUUCAUCAAGAGGUGUAAUUGUUGGCUUAGCAGCUGCAACUCCUGCCUCAGAAAUCAUCUCCAAUGCAUAUUUCCUCUAGUGCAUAAGGAUCCCUUGUUUUGAUCUGGCAAAUUCUAUACCUAGGAAGUAUUCCAGUUCUCCUAGGUCUUUCAUUUUGAAAGACUUUUACAUAUGUGUGUUGGUUUCCUCUAUCAGUUUCAGAGAAUACCAGUAAAAAGCAUGUCAUCUACAUAGAUUAAAAUCAUCAUAAUACCUUCUGCAAUUUUCUUAAAGAACAUGGACUGAUCAUAUUAACUUUGAUGAAAUUGAGACCUCGGUAGUGCUUCUGUCAGUUUAACAUUCCAUUGUCGAGGAGCUUGUUUUAAGCCAUAUAAGGAUUCGACAAGUCUACAUACUUUAUUCUCCCCCUGACUUGGGAAUCCUUAGGGCAUAUCUAUGUAUAUCUCAUCCAGUAAAUCUCCCUGCAAGAAAGUAUUAUAUACAUCCAUUUGAUGUAUAUGCCAGUGUCUUGUAGCAGCUAUAGCAAGUAUAGUUCUUACAGUUUUCAUUUUUAUGACUGGAGAAAAAGUUACUUGAUAGUCUAUUCUCUCUUUUAGGCUGAAACCUUUAGCUACUAACCUAGCUUUAAACCUUUCUAUUUCACAAGAUGCCUUGUAUUUGAUCUUUUAGAUCCACUUGCAUCUGAUAGGGGUCUUACCAAUAGGUAGUCUCGGUAUGUCCCGUGAGUGAUUGUUUUGUAGAGCUUCAAUCAUAGGCUUCAUUGCAUCUAUCCAUUUAGGAUCUUUCACACCUUCUGAAUAAAGAGUUGGUUCAAUGAUAUUUGAAGUUGCGGUCAAGUAGGCUUGAUACUUGGAGGUUAAGUGUUCAUAGGUAAUGAACUUUGAUAUUUCAUAUGGUUAUCAUGUUGGGCAGUUAAUGACAUAAAAUCUUUCAGCCAUAUGGGUAGUUUUUUCCCUCUACCUGACUUUCUGACAUCUGAAUUAAUAGGGAGAUUGAUUGGAGUAGACUGUGGGACUUGAGCUACUGGUUCUAUGACUGGUAUUAUUUAUCAUAUUGUCUCCCUUGCUGGGAUGUUAUUUGUUAUGAUGUUGUCUCCCUUGCCGGGAUGUUAUUAUUUAUGAUAUUAUCUCUCUUGGCGGGAUGUUGUUUUUAUACUCUUGUUCACUUGCCGGAAUUCUUUAAUGACUGAUGUUAAAUUGUAAAUGGGAUCGGGUUGCACGUUGCAAUAGUAACAUAUGAAAUAGGAUCAUGCUGCAUACUGCAACCGUAAUAUAUAAAGUGGGAUCAGGUUGUACGCUGCAGCGGUAAUAUUAUAUGAAACGGGAUUAGGUUGCACGCCGCAACAGUAUCAUAUGAAAUGGGAUCGGGCUACACGCUAUAAUAAUAUUAUAUGAAAUGGGAUCAGGUUACACGCUGCAAUGGUAUUAUAUGAAAUGGGAUUAGGUUGCAUGCCGCAACGAUAAUAUUAUAUGACAUGGGAUAGGGUUGCACGCCGCAAUGAUAUUACAUAAUUUGGGAUCGAGUUGCACGCCGCAACAAGAAAGAAAUGAAAGUGAAUAUUGUGUUUGUUUUCCUUAUUCUUGUUGGCAAUUGAAUUAUAGUUAUUCUUUACAUUCUUCUGUUGGUAUUCUGUUGUUAUCUUAUACUCCCCGCAGCAUGUUUUCCCCCCUACAUCUUUAACUGUAAAUAUCUACUUUUAUUUUCUGAUGUAUUGAUUUAGCUACAUAGGUUUAUUUUAUUGUGGGUCCUACCCUCAUUACUACUUUGCCGAGGUUAGGUUACGCACUUACCAGCACAUAGGGUCGGUUGUGCUGAUACUACACUCUGCACUGUGUGCAGAUCCCGGUGUUAUAGGUGUCCGCAGGCCCUAGCGUCCCCUACUAUCUUUCCAUUCUGUUUCUUUCAAGUAUUUUAUUUAUUUUUCGAACUUUAUUUAUAGUAUUCCUAGACAGAUUGUGAAAUUGUGACACCAGUUCUGGGUAGCUUAUGUUAUGGAUUGGUGUUGGUAUCAUUAUUUAAUUGUUACCUCUCAAUCUUCCGCUUUAUAUUUCCAUUGUUUAUAUGAUGUUUGUUCACCAUUAUUAAAGAAUUAAAAUAUAUGAAAAAGGUUAAGUAAUUGGAACAAUUGGCUUGCCUAGCUUUCACCAGUAGGCGCCAUCACAAAUCCCGAGGGUGGGAAAUCUGGGUCGUGGCAAGUUGGUAUCAGAGCUAUAGGUUACUUAGGUCUCGAAAUUCAUGGACAAACUUUGUAGAGUCUUAGGGAUCGGUACAGAGACGUCUGUAUUUAUUCUCUAAAGGCUACAGGGUUAGGAAAAACAUCACAUCUACUCUUUCCUAUCGUGCGAUUUGGUUUCUCAAUGAUAAUUGAGUUUCUACUCUGUUCUUUUGCAGAUGAACACGUGCUCCUCAUCUAAUGAUCAUUAGCCCGAAACCCCAGUAACAACUCACAGAGGGGGAGAGGGCGAGGCCGUGCUAGAGGCUGAGGUGGGGGUGGAGCUCAUCCCAGAGCUGUAGCACCAGCAGCGGAGCCUCAGGUUGAGUUUGAUGAUGAGGUUCUGGCCCAGGCAACUCUAAUGGGCCCAACUCAGGUCCAGAGGGGUUCAUUGCUACCCAGUACUCCGAGAUGCUCUGGUCUGUCAAAUGGGUCUUAUGGAGAGUGUCAUCCCGACAGGCUUAGUACCAGCUGUCUCUCAAGCCGGGGGAGGAGCACAAACUCCUGCUACUCAACUACGGAGCAUAUGGCUCCCCAGUUUCAGACUCCAAAAGCUCAGCCAGUUGGAGUAGUCCAACCGGGUGUGGUAUCUCAGACCGGUGAUGAAGCAGUUAUGUCUAUUGAUGCCUUAUGGAGAUUGGACAAGUUUAACAAGAUCUUCACUACCACUUUCAGGUAUGCAUAUUUUGAGGAUCCCCAAGAUUAUUAAGACAGCUGUCAUGAGGUUCUCAGAAACAUGAGGAUAGUGGAUAUUAAUGGGGUCGACUUUGCUUCUUUUCACUUAUCAGGAUCCGCCUAGACUUGGUGGAAAGAUUAUUGUUUGUCUAGACCAUUUGGAUCACUAGCUUUGACUUGGGAUCAGUUUUCUCAGUUAUUUUUGGAGAAGUUUCUUCCCAUCACUUAGAGGGAGAACUAUCGGAUGCAGUUUGAGCAUCUCCAAUAGGGUUCUAUGACCGUUACAUAGUACGAGACCAGAUUUAUUGACUUGGCCCAUUAUGCUCUUUCAGCCUGUUCGAUUACAGAUGGCUAAAGAGGCGGGUAGCGAAAUUUCUUUUCAGGAUGUGGCCAAUAUGACUAGGAGAGUUGAUAUGGUUCUAUCACAAUGGGGUGGUCAAAGGUUUUACAAGAGACCUCAUCGUUCUGGUAGGUUCAGUAGUGCCACAUCUCGGGGCAGGGAUUCUUUUGGUGGGGCCAUCCUUCUUGGCCCUUUUAUUCAGCACUUUAGGCUUCUCAAGGUGCUCUAGGUGGUUGUAGUUCUCACAUGCAAUUCUGAUCAGCAAUCCUAUAGUGCAUUGCCAGCUCCUAUCAGUGCACCUCCAUUUCAAUGUUUUUAGGGUUUUCAGCCCCCAGCCGUCGAGGGCUUGUUUUACUUAUGGAGACAUGAGGUAUAUUGCUAGAUUUUGGCCUCGAGCACUGAGCAGUUCUCAGCACCAGAGUUCCCAUGCCAUGGUUCAAGCAUCGAGUGUUCCACCCCUUCCUCAGCCAGCUAGAGGUUGAUGUAGGAGUGCUAGAGGUGGAGGUAGAGGUAUUAGAUAUGUAGUUCGGAGAGGUGGAGGCCAGCAAACAAGAGGCCAUCCUAGAGAUGUAGUUCAGAGUGGUGGCCCAGCCCCGAUAUUUAAUGUGGAGGUAGAGGUAUUAGAUAUGUAGUUUGUAGUAAGGAUGCUUCAGUGCUAUUUGAUCCAGGGUCUACAUAUUCAUAUGUGUCCUCUUAUCUGGCACCGUAUUUGAUCAUACCUAGUGAUUCAUUGAGUGCUCAUGUAUAUGUGUCUAUACCGAUGGGUGAUUCUAUUAUGAUAGAUCGUGUCUAUCAUUCUUGUAUAGUGGUGAUUGGGGGUCUUGAGACCCGAGUAGACUUAUUACUUUUGGACAUCAUUGAUUUUGAUGUCAUAAUUGGGGUGGACUGGUUAUCCCCUUACCACACUAUCUUGUAUUGUCAUGCCAAGACAGUGACCUUAAAAUUACCGGAAUUUCCUCGUUUAGAGAGGAGACAGACUCCUGGUCAUUCUACCAAUAAGGUUACUUUAUAUAUGAAGGCUCGGCGUAUGGUCGAGAAGGGGUGUUUGGCUUAUUUGGCAUAUAUUCGUGAUUGUGGUGUUGAGGUUCCUUCAAUGGAUUUUGUGCAUGUCGUUCUUGAGUUUCCUGAGGUGUUUCCUUCAGACCUAUCGGGCAUGCCACCUAACAGGGAUAUUGACUUCUGCAUUGAUUUGGCUCCGGGCGCAGCCCAUUUCUAUUCCGAUGUAUCAUAUGGUCCCUCUUGAGUUGAAAGAAUUGAAGGAGCAGUUGCAAGACUUGCUUGUAAAGGCUUCAUUAGGUCUAUUAUCUCGCCUUGGGGUGCGCCAAUGUUAUUUUUUAAGAAGACAGACAGAUAGAUGAGGAUGUGUAUAGAUUACCCGCAGUUGAACAAGGUUACAAUCAAGAAUAAGUAUCCAUUACCGAGGAUUGAAGAUUUGUUUGAUCAGCUUCGGGGUGCCAAGGUAUUUUCGAAGAUUAACUUGAGAUCUGGCUACCAUCAGUUGAGGAUUAGGGCAUCUGAUGUCCCUAAGAUAGCUUUCUGCACUCGGUACGGGGACUAUGAGUUCUCGGUGAUGUCAUUCGGGUUGAUAAGUGCCCCAUCAGUUUUUAAGGAUUUGAUGAAUCAAAUGUUCAUGCCUUACUUGGAUUCGUUCGUGAUAGUCUUCAUUGAUGAUUUUUUAUCUAUUCCCGUAGCUCGGAGGAGCAUGAGUAGCAUCUUAGGUAAGGGCAUUAUGAGUUGUUGGUGAUAUCAUUUGGGAUGACAAACGUCCCAGCCGCUUUUAUGGAUUUGAUGAAUUGAGUGUUCAAGACUUACAUGGAUUCGUUUGUCACACCACCUUUUUUCGCUAUACACCCCCGCAAAGGGGCGUAAAGGAGUUUUUCCAAUUAAAGGACAAUCGAUCGGGAUUUGUUUAUUAUUUAUUCAGAGUCGCCACUUGGGAAAUUAAUGGUGUCCCAAGUCACCGAUUGAAUCCCAAACCGAGAAAAAAGAUGCUCUGUUCGCAGUCCGCAAACCAGAAAUCCGGAUAAGGAAUUUUGUUAACCCGGGAGAAGGUAUUAGGCAUUCCCGGGUUCCGUGAUUCUAGCACGGCCGCUCAACUGUUGUAUUUAACUUUAACUGAUUUUAUUACAUGAAGAACCUAUGUGCCAAUUUUUACUUUUUACCGCUUUUAUUUAAUAUAAUAUUUAUUUAACAGAAAGUGAACGUCGUUUAAAGUGUGUUUUCGGAUUGCGCCACAUCAAAUGAAUCUGCAAUCCUAGGCACACUCUAUUCAACGUUUUAGGAUUUGGAUUUGGGCCGCAUAAAAUGUCCGCCCGUAUUUAAGAAGGUAAUUUUAUUAAAAGAACACGCCUAAAGCGACGAACGCAUUAUUAACUUUGAGGGAGGCCAUGAAAAUAAGCUAAUUGGCGUGUCUUGAGUUCUAAGUAUUUUAAAGAAGUAAUUAAAGAGGGCCAUGCAAUUUGUCAUUUUGUUUGGCACGGCUCACCUCGACUAAUCUAAUUUUUUUUAUAAAAAAAAAAAGAGGCUAAAUUAAAAAAUUGCUAUUCUUGGGUCAAAUAAAGACAAUAAAAGAUAUCCACCAAUAUAGAACUAAAUCUCAAAUCUCAACUGUAAUAUGCAUUAAACAAUUACCAACUACCAGUACAUAGAAACCGAAUUCUCUGUUAUUAGCAAAAUAAGUUUAACGCCAUUUCUAGAGUUGUUAUGCGUUGGCAUUCCUUUCACAAAGAAUCUCUACUCCUAAUUACAAGAUUCACCUCGAAAUGACUUUACUAACAAAUUGAUUUCUAACAUUUUUAACCUUCAUGAAUCAGAACCAAUCAACAGAACCUUCAUAUUCCAAAUAAGAAUGAACUUGGGAGAUACAGCUAUAACACUAAGACAACAAACGAACAUGAACCUUUAUCUGUCAACAUUGAAAGCAUUAGCAAACUGAUUUUGAGUCCUAAAGAAAUUAUGAAACAGCCGUUAAUUUCUAACAAAUGGGACCCAAGAAUAUUUGAUUGGAAUCAGCAUGGAUCAUUUGCAUUCAACAGAGAAACAUAUUUUAGUUACCAACAACUAGUGAGCUAGACACACACACUCCAUUGAGAGCAUCGCACAGAUUUAAACUGGAGAAAGAUUAACUCAAACACUACUGCCGAAAUAGCAGAACUAAUUUUCUCUUUCGGACAGUGAUAACCAGCAACAAAAUAACAGCGAUAAAUCACAAAUCGCGAAGCGUUUGGAGUUAGAGUGGAGAGGGUGGAGAUUUGUCUCUUCGGCACAAUAGUCAUAAACGCAGGCCUCAACAGUUCAUACUUAGCUAGGCGAUUGUGAUUUCAACUGAAAUUUUAGCUAUUCACUCCAGAAUCAGACGGAUUUAGUCGACAAUCCAAAUUAACAUAUAAUUCAACCGUCCAAAUUAUCACAUAAACAAAAUUGAUGACAACGGCAAUUAACCAACAAUCCAACUAGAAGAAUAGAAGGAAUCAAACAUAUUCGCAGAUUCGAUAAUCCGACUAUUCAUUCAUAUUCAAAGGAAAAUUUCGAGACAAUGUGUACAUACCUAGGCAGCCGAAAUUAACUGAAGGAAAGCAACAACAAACUUCUGAUAAUAUGAGAGGAGAUCUGGCAACAUAACAGCAACAGACCAGCGAUCAACACGAGUUCAACUCGACGAUAGCAGACAACGGUUCAAUCCGCCAGAUUUCUCAGCUAGCGCCAUGAAUCGGAAGCUCUAAGCCCAAAUUUCACUUGACAUUCCAGAAAAUCUAAGUAAAAACAAAGUAGAAGUGCGGAUAACUUUCAAAUCCCCCUUUGUUUCUAUUUUGGUUUGUAUUUGAAACUCUCCUUUGAAUUUUUCAAAGCUGGGCUUGAAUUUUGGACAUGAAUCGAUGGCACUUGUCUAGAGGAAAAAUGAAGAACUGAAGAAUCCGUUGCUGUGUGUGUUCUCAGAGAAGGGAAGCUUGGGUGUGGAAAAUCUCCUCCUUCUUGUUGUUCUGUUCUCUAUAUUUUGUAUGUGAAAGGAGCGAAGAAGAAGGAUUGAAAAUUAGGGAAUGAGACACGCAUUUUUCGUGG